CCCUGCCCUUUGUACACACCGCCCGUCGCUGCCCGGAACUGAGCCGUUUCGAGAAAGCCGGGGACUGACGACUUGAGGCGCGCAAGCGUCUCUCGUCGACGGAAACCAGUUUGAUCGGUAUGGCUUGA
rnacentral:rRNA from 1 species